UGAACGCUGGCGGCGUGCCUAAUACAUGCAAGUCGAGCGAACGGACGAGAAGCUUGCUUCUCUGAUGUUAGCGGCGGACGGGUGAGUAACACGUGGAUAACCUACCUAUAAGACUGGGAUAACUUCGGGAAACCGGAGCUAAUACCGGAUGAUAUUUUGAACCGCAUGGUUCAAAAGUGAAAGACGGUCUUGCUGUCACUUAUAGAUGGAUCCGCGCUGCAUUAGCUAGUUGGUAAGGUAACGGCUUACCAAGGCAACGAUGCAUAGCCGACCUGAGAGGGUGAUCGGCCACACUGGAACUGAGACACGGUCCAGACUCCUACGGGAGGCAGCAGUAGGGAAUCUUCCGCAAUGGGCGAAAGCCUGACGGAGCAACGCCGCGUGAGUGAUGAAGGUCUUCGGAUCGUAAAACUCUGUUAUUAGGGAAGAACAUAUGUGCAAGUAACUGUGCACAUCUUGACGGUACCUAAUCAGAAAGCCACGGCUAACUACGUG
rnacentral:rRNA from 1 species